GCGGACGGGUGAGUAACGCGUGGGAAUGUGCCCUUCUCUACGGAAUAGUCCCGGGAAACUGGGUUUAAUACCGUAUACGCCCUUCGGGGGAAAGAUUUAUCGGAGAAGGAUCAGCCCGCGUCUGAUUAGGUAGUUGGUGGGGUAAUGGCCUACCAAGCCUACGAUCAGUAGCUGGUUUUAGAGGAUGAUCAGCCACACUGGGACUGAGACACGGCCCAGACUCCUACGGGAGGCAGCAGUGGGGAAUCUUAGACAAUGGGCGCAAGCCUGAUCUAGCCAUGCCGCGUGAGUGAUGAAGGCCUUAGGGUCGUAAAACUCUUUCGCCAGGGAUGAUAAUGACAGUACCUGGUAAAGAAGCCCCGGCUAACUCCGUGCCAGCAGCCGCGGUAAUACGGAGGGGGCUAGCGUUGUUCGGAAUUACUGGGCGUAAAGCGCGCGUAGGCGGACUAUUAAGUCAGGGGUGAAAUCCCGGGGCUCAACCCCGGAACUGCCCUUGAUACUGGUAGUCUUGAGUUCGAGAGAGGUGAGUGGAAUUCCGAGUGUAGAGGUGAAAUUCAUAGAUAUUCGGAGGAACAACAGUGGCGAAGGCGGCUCACUGG
rnacentral:rRNA from 1 species